rnacentral:rRNA from 1 species
UACGUAGGAGGCAAGCGUUGCUCGGAAUUACUGGGCGUAAAGCGCGUGUGGUGGUGGGACAAGUCUGCUGUGAAAGCGCCUGGCUUAACCGGGCGAGGUCGGCGGAAACUGUCCGACUCGAGGACGGUAGAGGGGGGUGGAAUUCCCGGUGUAGUGGUGAAAUGCGUAGAGAUCGGGAGGAACACCUGUGGCGAAGGCGGCCAGCUGGGCCGGACCUGACGCUGAGACGCGAAGGCGGUGGGGAGCGAACGGGG